rnacentral:rRNA from 1 species
CGUGCCUAAUACAUGCAAGUCGAACGCAUUGUGGUUGAAAUGAUAUGAAGAACUUGUUCAGAUUUGAUUUUCAACAUUGCAAUGAGUGGCGAACGGGUGAGUAACACGUGGGAAACCUACCUCUUAGCAGGGGAUAACAUUUGGAAACAAAUGCUAAUACCGUAUAAUAAUUAAAACCGCAUGGUUUUAGUUUAAAAGAUGGUCUUGCUAUCACUAAGAGAUGGUCCCGCGGUGUAUUAGUUAGUUGGUGAGGUAAUGGCUCACCAAGACAAUGAUACAUAGCCGAGUUGAGAGACUGACCGGCCACAAUGGGACUGAGACACGGCCCAUACUCCUACGGGAGGCAGCAGUAGGGAAUCUUCCACAAUGGACGAAAGUCUGGUGGAGCAACGCCGCGUGUGUGAUGAAGGGUUUCGGCUCGUAAAACACUGUUGUAAGAGAAGAAUGACAUUGAGAGUAACUGUUCAAUGUGUGACGGUAUCUUACCAGAAAGGAACGGCUAAAUACGUG